rnacentral:tRNA from 1 species
AAGGAUGUAGCCCAGUGGUAGAGCACUUGCCUAACAUGCAGGAAGUUCUGGGUUUAAUCUCUAGUAUCCCCC